GACGAACGCUGGCGGCGUGCUUAACACAUGCAAGUCGAACGGAAAGGCCCUGCUUUUGUGGGGUGCUCGAGUGGCGAACGGGUGAGUAACACGUGAGUAACCUGCCCUUGACUUUGGGAUAACUUCAGGAAACUGGGGCUAAUACCGGAUAGGAGCUCCUGCUGCAUGGUGGGGGUUGGAAAGUUUGGGCGGUUGGGGAUGGACGCGCGGCUUAUCAGCUUGUGGGUGGGGUAGUGGCUUACCAAGGCUUUGACGGGUAGCCGGCCUGCGAGGGUGACCGGCCACAUUGGGCCUGAGGUACGGCCCAGACUCCUACGGGAGGCAGCAGUGGGGAAUAUUGCACCAUGGGCGGAACCCUGAUGCAGCAACGCCGCGUGCGGGAUGACGGCCUUCGGGUUGUAAACCGCUUUCGCCUGUGACGAAGCGUGAGUGACGGUAAUGGGUAAAGAAGCACCGGCUAACUACGUG
rnacentral:rRNA from 1 species